ACGGCCAUACCACAGUGAAAACACCGGUUCUCUUCCAAAUACCGAAGUUAAGCAAUGUCAGGCCCGGUCAGUACUUGGGAGGGUGACCAUCUGGGAACACCCGGGUGUAGCUGUU